GAUGAACGCUGGCGGCAUGCCUUACACAUGCAAGUCGAACGGCAGCACGGGAGCAAUCCUGGUGGCGAGUGGCGAACGGGUGAGUAAUAUAUCGGAACGUGCCCAGUCGUGGGGGAUAACGUAGCGAAAGCUACGCUAAUACCGCAUACGAUCUAUGGAUGAAAGCGGGGGAUCGCAAGACCUCGCGCGAUUGGAGCGGCCGAUAUCAGAUUAGGUAGUUGGUGGGGUAAAAGCCUACCAAGCCUUCGAUCUGUAGCUGGUCUGAGAGGACGACCAGCCACACUGGAACUGAGACACGGUCCAGACUCCUACGGGAGGCAGCAGUGGGGAAUUUUGGACAAUGGGCGCAAGCCUGAUCCAGCCAUGCCGCGUGAGUGAAGAAGGCCUGGUUGUAAGCGUACUUCUAGCUGGAGUGAAACGGUGACGGC
rnacentral:rRNA from 1 species